AUUGAACGCUGGCGGCAGGCCUAACACAUGCAAGUCGAGCGGAGCGGCGGACGGGUGAGUAAUGCCUAGGAAUCUGCCUGGUAGUGGGGGUACACGUCCGGAAACGGGCGCUAAUACCGCAUACUAUCAGAUGAGCCUAGGUCGGAUUAGCUAGUUGGUGGGGUAAAGGCCUACUAAGGCGACGAUCCGUAACUGGGCUGAGAGGCUGAUCAGGCACACUGGAACUGAGACACGGUCCAGACUCCGACGGGAGGCAGCAGUGGGGAAUAUUGGAUAAUGGGCGAAAGCCUGACCAAGCCAUGCCGGGUAUUUGAAGAAGGUCUUCGGAUGGUAAAGCACUGUAAGUUGGGAGGCGUUACCAACAGAAUAAGCAACGGCUAACUUCGUGCCAGCCGCCGCGGUAAUAC
rnacentral:rRNA from 1 species